rnacentral:rRNA from 1 species
GACGAACGCUGGCGGCGUGCCUAAUACAUGCAAGUAGAACGCUGAAGGAGGAGCUUGCUUCUCCGGAUGAGUUGCGAACGGGUGAGUAACGCGUAGGUAACCUGCCUGGUAGCGGGGGAUAACUAUUGGAAACGAUAGCUAAUACCGCAUAACAGUAGAUGUUGCAUGACAUUUGCUUAAAAGGUGCAAUCGCAUCACUACCAGAUGGACCUGCGUUGUAUUAGCUAGUUGGUGAGGUAACGGCUCACCAAGGCGACGAUACAUAGCCGACCUGAGAGGGUGAUCGGCCACACUGGGACUGAGACACGGCCCAGACUCCUACGGGAGGCAGCAGUAGGGAAUCUUCGGCAAUGGACGGAAGUCUGACCGAGCAACGCCGCGUGAGUGAAGAAGGUUUUCGGAUCGUAAAGCUCUGUUGUAAGAGAAGAACGAGCGUGAGAGUGGAAAGUUCACACUGUGACGGUAGCUUACCAGAAAGGGACGGCUAACUACGUG